AAAAGUUCNGGGCUUAACCCCGUGAUGGGAUGGAAACUGCCAAUCUAGAGUAUNGGAGAGGAAAGUGGAAUUCNUAGUGUAGCGGUGAAAUGCGUAGAUAUUAGGAAGAACACCAGUGGCGAAGGCGACUUUCUGGACGAAAACUGACGCUGAGGCGCGAAAGCCAGGNGAGCGAACGGGAUUAGAUACCCCGGUAGUCCUGGCCGUAAACGAUGGGUACUAGGUGUAGGAGGUAUCGACCCCUUCUGUGCCGGAGUUAACGCAAUAAGUACCCCGCCUGGGGAGUACGACCGCAAGGUUGAAACUCAAAGGAAUUGACGGGGGCCCGCACAAGCGGUGGAGUAUGUGGUUUAAUUCGACGCAACGCGAAGAACCUUACCAGGUCUUGACAUUGACGGACAGAACUAGAGAUAGUUCCUCUUCUUCGGAAGCCAGAAAACAGGUGGUGCACGGUUGUCGUCAGCUCGUGUCGUGAGAUGUUGGGUUAAGUCUCGCAACGAGCGCAACCCCUAUCUUAUGUUGCCAGCACUUUGGGUGGGAACUCAUGAGAGACUGCCGCAGACAAUGCGGAGGAAGGCGGGGAUGACGUCAAAUCAUCAUGCCCCUUAUGACCUGGGCUACACACGUACUACAAUGGGAGUUAAUAGACGGAAGCAAAACCGCGAGGUGGAGCAAACCCGAGAAACACUCUCUCAGUUCGGAUCGUAGGCUGCAACUCGCCUAUGUGAGGUCGGAAUCGCUAGUAAUCGCAGGUCAGCAUACUGCGGUGAAUACGUUCCCGGGCCUUGUACACACCGCCCGUCACACCACGAAAGUCGGAAGUGCCCAAAGCCGGUGG
rnacentral:rRNA from 1 species